rnacentral:misc_RNA from 1 species
GCGGAAGGAAGUACCAUUAAAGACGAGUAACGUUGUUUAUCUAUACAAAGACCAAAUCCAGAUUUAACAGUAAGUUUACAGAAAAGUGGCGGUUGGGGGGUGGAGGGGUAGAGUCUCACAUUUUAUUCCCUGCGAUCAAACACUACAAAGCAGAUGAGCUCACCGUUAUCUACUGAGUCCCUUCAUUUUUCUUCUCCUGUUCUUUCUCCUUCUCGGCCUUUUCUUUCUCUGCCUUAAGCCUUAGCUUCUCCAGCCUUUCUCUUUCCAUUUUCUGGAUGUAGACGUUCUCGGCAGCACGCUCCUCCUCACUAAGAACUCGACCUUUGCCGUCGGAGAGGAAUCGGAAUCCACCGGCGCCGGCGGCACGCGCCGUCGAGGGAGUAAGCGAUGAACGACUGAGCACCGAUCGCAUGGCCAUUUGCGUUAUGAUCGAAAUGUUCGAGAGAGUGAUAGCGUGGUUUCUU